rnacentral:lncRNA from 1 species
UGUUAUGAUUAUUGUCUUCUUGGAUUUGGAGUUAAUUAAGAUUAAUUAAGUUGAUAAAUUUGUAGUACCAUUUUCGUCCCCAAUCUUGAUACGCGAUCUAAUAUUUUACAUUAAUUAUUAAUUCAUCUAUUACAAGAAGAAUCUCGUUACCUAUAAAUAAUGUAGGGUAAUGAUUUUUUUGUUUGUAUUUUUUUGGAUUGAGAAUUAAUGUGAGGACGUGUUGUUAAGAUUGGGGACGAAAAUGGAAUAUAUUAUAUUCUUAUCAUUAGUUUGUUACUUGGAAAGUGUUGAAUCAAAGAUAUUUUCAACAACUAGCUAGCUCUUGAGUGUUUAUUUAUAGAUGCAUGCACUUGUUUAAUAAUUCAUAUAUGGUUUUCUUAUUAGUUAUUAUUGUCACAUUGUGUGUGGGUGGGUGGGUGUGAAAUAAUGUGAAGGUAGAUAUAGCCAAAACAAUUACUCAUACUACAACUGAAAAUUGGUUGAUGGUUAGAUUAGCUUCGG